rnacentral:rRNA from 1 species
GACGAACGCUGGCGGCGUGCUUAACACAUGCAAGUCGAACGGAAAGGCCUUUUCGGCGGUACUCGAGUGGCGAACGGGUGAGUAACACGUGGGUGAUCUGCCCUGCACUCUGGGAUAAGCCUGGGAAACUGGGUCUAAUACCGGAUAGGACCGCACUUUAGUGUGUGUGGUGGAAAGUUUUUUCGGUGUAGGAUGAGCCCGCGGCCUAUCAGCUUGUUGGUGGGGUAAUGGCCUACCAAGGCGGCGACGGGUAGCCGGACUGAGAGGUUGGUCGGCCACAUUGGGACUGAGAUACGGCCCAGACUCCUACGGGAGGCAGCAGUGGGAAAUAUUGCACAAUGGGCGCAAGCCUGAUGCAGCGACGCCGCGUGGGGGAUGACGGCCUUCGGGUUGUAAACUCCUUUCGCCAGGGACGAAGCGUUUUGUGACGGUACCUGGAGAAGAAGCACCGGCUAACUACGUG